rnacentral:rRNA from 1 species
UACGGAGGAUCCAAGCGUUAUCCGGAUUUAUUGGGUUUAAAGGGUGCGUAGGCGGCCUAUUAAGUCAGGGGUGAAAGACGGUGGCUCAACCAUCGCAGUGCCUUUGAUACUGAUGGGCUUGAAUGAACCUGAGGUAGGCGGAAUGUGACAAGUAGCGGUGAAAUGCAUAGAUAUGUCACAGAACACCAAUUGCGAAGGCAGCUUACUAAAGUUUAAUUGACGCUAAGGCACGAAAGCGUGGGGAUCAAACAGG